AUGCAUUUGAAGCAACUCGGGCAGCAGCAGCCCCGGUUAUUUACAUGGCCAGCAGCGAGAACUGCAUUUGGCCACCACAGAGCCGCCGCCGGAGGGGGAAGAAGCGUAAUUCAAACUGCACCUUCUGCACGGCGCUCCCCGCCGCCGCUCCCCGCGCAGCUCCACCAGGCAGACCGACAUUUUUCCGCCGACCGGGGCGGGGGGGGGAGGGGGCUGCCCCGGCGGCCGGGGGGGGCCGAGGAGGAGCGCGGCGGGGAGCUGCGGCAGGGCUGGAGGCGGCCGCCCGCCCGCCCGGCCGCGCUUUGUGGGGAGAGCCCGGCGCGGCGCGGCGCGGCUCGGCUGGGCUCGGCGCGGCGGGCGGCGGCGGCUCGCCCGGCCCCGCACCGCACCGUGCGUGUGCACCAAGUGAGGCGUGAACUCGGGCCGGCUCCGCGCCCCCGGCCGCCGCCAGGCAGCGAGCGCCGAAAACAAGAACAAAGCUCCUCUACCAGCCCCCCCGCCUCCUCCCCGCCUCCCCCCACCGCGCUCGCCCAGCCGCCGCGGCAGCCGCCUCGCCCGCCUCUCCCUUACCUUCGCCGGCGUCCUGUCCCGCUGCUGGGUCGGAGAGGCGGGAUGGCGGGGGGCCGGGCCGGGCCCGCGGCGCCCGAGGAGGGGACGGAGGCGGCCGGGGGGCUAUACGGCGGCGGCGGCGGCUCUGUGGCCGGGCAGUGUGGAACAUUGAGAGCCGGAGCAGGGGGGGACGGGGGGAGGCGCGGUGCGGCCCCGCGGCCGGCGGGUGGCGCUGGCGGGCCCCGCUCUGCGGCGCGGGCUCCCGCGGCGGGCCGGGGGGCCGGGGCGGGGGGCGGCGGGCGCGCGCCGGUGGGGGCGGGGGAGGGGGCGCCGGCCGCUUCGGGCCUCCGGCCCGCCGCCCCCGCCCGCCCCCGCCCGCCGCCGCCGCCGGCGGGGCUCCCGGCGAGCGGGGGGAGGGGAGAGGGGGCGCUCGCUCCCGCCCGGCGCCCGCCGGAGCGCGCCCCCCUCCGGGCCGGGGUGCGCGCAGGCGCUCUCCCGCCGCGGCCGAGGGCGCGCGUGCUCCGGGCCGGGCAAGGACAAAGCGGCGGCGCGCGCGGGGGGGGGCGGCCCUCGACGGCGGUCCGGCCCGGCCCCGCGGCCUCGCUCCGCCGCCGCCGGCAGAGCCCGGGUCCCGACGGGCUCUCGCCGCCGGCGCCUGAGGGGAGACGGGGGGGAGGCACCGCCGCGGGCUUCGCCCACCGACGGCUGCGCGCCGCUGGCGGCCGUGGGGCCUCCUUCAGCCGCCGCGGCGGCCUCGCACCUCGCGCCUCGCCUCGCGCCCCGCCGCCGUGGCGGGAACGGGACCGCUGGUGGCGCCUCACCCGCCGCUGCCGCCCUCGCCAGUUCCCGCGCUGCAGCGCACCCGCGCCUGGCGCAGCGCCUCUGCGGGAGCGCGGGCGGCCGAGCGGUGCGGGCUGGGCCGCGCGGGGCUGA
rnacentral:lncRNA from 1 species